rnacentral:lncRNA from 1 species
GUAGAUGUUUAUAUUUCACUUUUGGAGAGAUUAAUUUGUCUAAGCUUGUGCUACCUGUAAAUGGUGGAGCUUAUUUUAAAGCCCUUCUGCUUUUGCUUAUACACUGUUUUCUUCUACAUUUCAAAAGCACCUUAAAUGAUUUGGUGCUGAUACUUGAAGUACUUUUUAGAGAGAGUUAGCAGCAUGUUGAUUCUACAUUUUUUUGUAUAUCUUCAUACUCCUAAAAGUGUUUUAUUUUCCAUUUGUUCCACUUUAAGUAUUUGUUAAAUGUAAUUCUUUUUUUUUUUCCAGGAUGGUACCAUAAUUAAUGUAGCAUCUAGCAUAGUUGAAAGUAGCAGAUACUUUAAAAAUAUUUGCUGCAUCAAUUCAAAAGAAUAACGAAAGGAGAGGUGGCAGUUAAUGGUGGGGGGCUAUUCACAUAAAAAUUCAUUUCUGUUGGAAUGUGAGGCUGGAACCUUUCUCAUAUUACAGCAUGCUGCAGGGCAGGGCUAGAAUCCAAGCUUUGAUUAAAAUCACCCAAACUCUUUUUUCUUUGCUUUACAACCACAAGUUUGUGCCCAGCUGAAUAGCCUGUAUCUCUAAUACAUUGUUAACCCAGCCUCCUCACCCCCUCAGCAGUUAAACUAUGUGUGGGGCAGAUUGAAUUGCUGUGCUUACCAAAUUGUUUGUUUGUUUUUGAGGCUGGGUCUUGCUCUGUCACCCAGACUGGAGUGCAGUGGUGAGAUCAUAGCCCACUACAGCCUUGACUUCCUGGGCUGAGGCAAUCCUCCUGCCUUACCCUUCCAAGUUUCUGGGACUGUAGGUGUGUACCACCAUGCAUGGCUAAUUUAAAAAUUGUUUUGUAGAGACAGAGGUCUCGUUUCAUUGCCUAUGUUGGUCUUGAACUCCUGAGCUCAAGCUGUCCUCCCGUCUUGGCCUCCCAAAGUGUUGGGAUUACAGGCUUGAGCCACCAUGCCCAGCCUGGGUUUUUCUUCUUACUGUAGUUGAUUAUUCCUCAUGGUUGCUCCUCCAGAUGACUUCAGCAGCAGUGUAGUGUAGAAAUAUUCCAUUAGUCCUUUAAGACUGUAACCUGAUUAUUAGUAAUUAGAGCUCUGGGCUCAAUUGCAGAUUUGUAGUCUCCUUUACACUUUAAUACUUUUUUUUUUUUUUUUUUUUUGAGACAGGGUCUCACUCUGUCACCUGGGCUGGAGUGCAGUGGCAUGAUUACAGCUCACUGCAGCUUCAACCUCCUGGGCUCGAGUGAUCCUCUUGCCUCAGCCUCCUGAGUAGCUGGGACUACAGGUGUGUGCCACCAUGCUCAGCUAAUUUUUUUGUUUUUUAACUUCUUACAGAGAUGGGGUUCUACUAUGUUGCCCAGGCUGGUCUCAAACUCCUGGGUCAAACGAGCCUCCUGCCUCAGCCUCCCAAAGUCCUGGUAUUUAUAGACAUGAGCCACCAGACCUGGCCUACACUUUAAGAAUUUUUUAAUGAUUUGUGGUUGUUUGGUAUUGGUCUUUACAUUAUUAUAUAUCUGCUGAAUGCUGUGUGAUGGAUAUUAAAAUUAUCCACUCCUAUCAGGGAGCUACUAACUAAAAUGUAAUUUCUUUAACCGUUGAAUUUGGACAAUCUGACUUCAGAGUUUUAGCUCUUAACUCCUUUACUAUAAAGCUGAUGCCUCCUGUUUCAUAAAUAAUACAGCCCCUAUUUAAGAUUUCUACAUAUAACAUUCCCCCAUGUUAUUUUCUAUUAGAGUAUGUGUAUAUAUUGCAAGGUUUUCCAUUUCUAUUCUAAUAAAACUUUCAUCUUUAGUUUUAGUGGUUGUCAGUUGGUUUCUCACAAGACGUUUUCUGCCUUUAGCAUUUUUAUUUCAGGUAAAAGGAUUAUGUCACCUUGAUGAGUUCUUGGCAUAUAUGCUGUAAAGUUAGUCUUCUGUACCGGUAGAGACAAACAGUUAAAGCAUGUACAGUACUUCUUUUGGAUUAUAUUAUAAUUUGAGGAACAGAUUUGCCAUUUGAAGUUUGUCUUAGAUACAUAAUUUUUAUUCUGUAAAUGUACAGAUGGUGGAAUUCUGGAAACAUCCUGUGUUGAAGAGAAAAAUUCCACUCAGAAUUUAAAAUUGGCCUUGGAGAAUUAUAAAAAGGGGUAGGGGCAUGGAUCAUCCAUAUGUGGGUUAUUGAAUUAAAUUUUUCACUUUUUUUGUUCUUAGAGUCAACUUUUAUAACACUGUUACUGGGAAUACUUGACUUACUAAGCUUUUACUGAACACUUUAAUUUUGGGAGUACAAUUUCUAAACUCACGAAAUAAUCUUCAUGCAACAAGAUGUUAUUUUAUCAAAUUUUGGUAUUACAUGCUCAUUCUUUGACAAAUUUUAAUUAACAGAUUUCUGAGAGAGCAGACACCAUCUUAUUUCUGUUGAAUUGUAUUUAGUAACUCAAAAGGCAUAUACCAAGCUGUCAGAAGCAGCUUCAUUUAAAAGAAAUAAAAUUUCUAGUCCUGCCUGAAGUUUAAGCUAGCCCAUGACUACACAAGUGCAACUGUAUUUCCCAGGUAGAUGCCGGUAGAUUGGGCCCAGUAAGUUUGGGCCGUUGGGAUGUGAAAGGAAGAGAUGCGGGCAACUUUUUGGGUCAUCUUCUUAAAGAAAAAGCCAUUUGUCCUGGAUGCCCUCUUUUCUUUUUUCUCUUUGGCUGGGAAAUGACAAGAAUUAAAGCAGCAGCCUUGGAUCCAGAGAUGGACGCCAAUUGAUGAAGACAGCAGAACUGACUGGCUAGUCUGGGUUCCCUGGAGCAGAGCUGUCUCUCCACCCUAGGUUAUCCACUUACUUUUGUACUGUUAUGUGAGAGAGAAAUAAACUUCUAUCUUCUUUAAGCCCUUGUUUUUUUUGGUAUUUCUUUGUUAUAGCUGAUUAGUCUGCCC